rnacentral:rRNA from 1 species
GACGAACGCUGGCGGCGUGCCUAAUACAUGCAAGUCGAGCGGACUUUCAAGAAGCUUGCUUUUUGAAAGUUAGCGGCGGACGGGUGAGUAACACGUGGGCAACCUGCCUGCAAGACGGGGAUAACUCCGGGAAACCGGGGCUCAUACCGGAUAAUAACUUCCUUCGCAUGAAGGAAGGUUGAAAGGCGGCGCAAGCUGCCGCUUGCAGAUGGGCCUGCGGCGCAUUAGCUAGUUGGUGAGGUAACGGCUCACCAAGGCGACGAUGCGUAGACGACCUGAGAAGGUGAUCGGCCACACGGGGACUGAGACGCGGCCCAGACUCCUACGGGAGGCAGCAGUAGUGAAGCUUCCGAGAUGGACGAAAGGCGGACAGAGCAACGCCGCGUGCGCGAAGAAGGUCCUCGGAUCGUGAAGCUCUGUUGUCAGGGAAGGACAAGUACCGUUCGAACAGGGCGGUAGAUUGACGGUGCCUGACCAGAAAGCCACGGCUAACUACGUG